rnacentral:rRNA from 1 species
CCCUUAGAUGUUCUGGGCCGCACGCGUGCUACACUGAGUAAAUCAAUGGGUAAGGGAACACGAAAGUGCAACCUAAUCUUGAAAUUUGCUCGUGAUGGGGAUCGACGGUUGCAAUUUUCCGUCGUGAACGAGGAAUACCUUGUAGGCGCGUGUCAUCAUCACGCGCCGAAUACGUCCCUGCCCUUUGUACACACCGCCCGUCGCUCCUACCGAUUGAGUGAUCCGGUGAGGCUCUGGGACCUGGACGGAAAGAGCGUUUCGCUUGUUCUGUUUGGGAAACUUGGUCGAACCUUAUCAUUUAGAGGAAGGAGAAGUGGUAACA